UUUAUUCGAUGCAACGCGAAGAACCUUACCUACUCUUGACAUCCAGAGAACUUAGCAGAGAUGCUUUGGUGCCUUCGGGAACUCUGAGACAGGUGCUGCAUGGCUGUCGUCAGCUCGUGUUGUGAAAUGUUGGGUUAAGUCCCGCAACGAGCGCAACCCUUAUCCUUUGUUGCCAGCGGUUCGGCCGGGAACUCAAAGGAGACUGCCAGUGAUAAACUGGAGGAAGGUGGGGAUGACGUCAAGUCAUCAUGGCCCUUACGAGUAGGGCUACACACGUGCUACAAUGGCAUAUACAAAGAGAAGCGACCUCGCGAGAGCAAGCGGACCUCAUAAAGUAUGUCGUAGUCCGGAUCGGAGUCUGCAACUCGACUCCGUGAAGUCGGAAUCGCUAGUAAUCGUGGAUCAGAAUGCCACGGUGAAUACGUUCCCGGGCCUUGUACACACCGCCCGUCACACCAUGGGAGUGGGUUGCAAAAGAAGUAGGUAGCUUAACCUUCGGGAGGGCGCUUACCACUUUGUGAUUCAUGACUGGGGUGAAGUCGUAACAAGGUAACCGUAGGGGAACCUGCGGCUG
rnacentral:rRNA from 1 species